AUUGAACGCUGGCGGAAUGCUUUACACAUGCAAGUCGAACGGCAGCACGGACAUCGGUCUGGUGGCGAGUGGCGAACGGGUGAGUAAUGUAUCGGAACGUGCCCAGUCGUGGGGGAUAACGUAGUGAAAAUUACGCUAAUACCGCAUACGAUCUAUGGAUGAAAGCGGGGGAUCGCAAGACCUCGCGCGAUUGGAGCGGCCGAUAUCAGAUUAGGUAGUUGGUGGGGUAAAGGCCCACCAAGCCAACGAUCUGUAGCUGGUCUGAGAGGACGACCAGCCACACUGGAACUGAGACACGGGCCAGACUCCUACGGGAGGCAGCAGUGGGGAAUUUUGGACAAUGGGCGAAAGCCUGAUCCAGCCAUUCCGCGUGCAGGAUGAAGGCCCUCGGGUUGUAAACUGCUUUUGUACAGAACGAAAAGGUUUCUACUAAUACUAGGAGCUCAUGACGGUACUGUAAGAAUAAGCACCGGCUAACUACGUGCCAGCAGCCGCAGUAA
rnacentral:rRNA from 1 species